GGCAGCGUGCAUGUGCGGUAGUUGCGUAAUGACCGAGCUUGGUUCGUCCGUGUUCUGAUAUGACGGACCUAUCCGUAGUCGGUCUGGUAUGUUUCCGACGGCUUAUGUUUGAUCUAGAUAGAAUUCGAACGAAGCUUUAUCUCGGGAACAUACGUUGCGACGUUUUCUUGACCGAGCAUGAUUUGCUGCGGAAAGACAUACUUGUAUUCUGCGGGGAUUUGGACGUUAAUUUCGUCGUAACCGUUUUCGAACUCAACAUACGUCGUAGUUGUUCAUGGUUAGAAAGGGGUGAAAACAAAUAAAAGAUGGAUUAUAAAAUCUAGAAAUGAUAGAAAAAUAGAGGGCUGGAAUUUUCAAAAAAAAGAAAACACUUGCUUAUUGCAUAUGACUUGUCACGUGUGAAUUAGCUGGCUAAAAAUAUUAUAAAAGUGGCCAAUACUAAACAUCAAACUCCAAUUAUCCAUCAGCGUACUACGAAAUCAUCCACCACCCAGAAAUCGUGUAAAGGCAUUGUUGGUUGAUGGAACAACAUAUCUCUCAAGAUCAAGCUCGUGAGUCUCUCAUCGCCAUCAUCUCUUACACCUUAUCGGUGAAGCAAGAGCCUCUAACCACCUCAGAUGUGAAACCUGUCGUCACCAUAAGAAACUCGGAAGAUGCGGAAGAGCUCAGAUCAGAGCUGAUUUCCAUCUCCGACCACGACUCACCGGAUGAACCUAUUUCCUCGACACCACCGCCCAACAGUAUCUGUCGUGGAUAGUAGUAAAUGUACAGCACCAAGUCUUUGCUUUUGUUUGGUCUAAAAGUAGACCAUUAAUGUCACAUAUGUAAACGUCUCUCAUCAAUCAAUAUAUCUUCUUUGUGUGCUUA